ACCAUGGGGCAGCUGGGGCUGCAGUGGAGAGUCAGAGAGAAAUACCUUCUCUUCUGUUUCCUGCCAGGAGGACCUCCAGGCGCUGACAGCUUUAACUGCUGGGAUAAAUGAGCAUCCAGGGCUCUGGUCUCUGGGACUUGCUCUUCUGCACAGGGGAAGGGAUACAGAAGCACAAGUGGAAGAUACUUCAUAGAGAAGCAUGAAGGCUGGGCAUGGAAUCCUGCCCCAAGGCCACAGACGCGGAGCCCAGAAACAAGGUCACCUCCAGAACUGACUGAGCCCCUUUGUGACUGUUGCCAAAAGCCCCCUGAUCACCACCAGCAGGCUUCCUGACCCCAUAUUCGGCAACAAUGCCCACUCCAGUGCUCACCCUAAAGCGCCUUAACCGAUCACCUAAGGUCAACCCUCCACCUAAGGUCAACCCUCCAGCUGGAAUUUUUCUUUGUCUUGAAAGUGAAAGUCACUCGGUUGUGUCUGACCCUCGGAACCCCAUGGACUAUACACUCCAUGGAAUUCUCUAGUCCACAAUACUGGGGCUCCACCCACACUGGGACCCUUGGCCUGGGUCCAUCCCUGCCCUGACAAGUCCUGUCAAGAGUGAAGACCAGCUUUCCUGGGGCCCCCUCCAGCUGAAAAGUCACCGUCUCCAACUUGCACCUGCCUGGAUGCCUGGCCCCAACUGAGCACAGGAGUGGUCGGCAAUCACAGCUAUGGCUGGCUGUCCCUGAUCUCAACAGGGGUUUCUUUUUGAGAGGAAGAUGGAUUUUCAAAGUCUUAAAUUUCUGUGCCUCAGGUGGCAAUAAUGCUGCCAUAUCAACCUUUUGAAGAUCAGACAGUGGGAGUGUUCCCCACAAGAGUCAAAAGGUGGAAGCAACCCAGUGUCCAUCAGCGGAUGAGCAAACAAAAAAUGGUCCGUCCACAUGAUGGAAUAUUAUUCAGCCUUGAAAAAGAAGGAAAUGCUGACACCUGCUACAACAUAGAUGAAUUCUGAGGACAUGCUGCUAAGGGAAAUAAACCAGUCACAAAAGGACA
ensembl:lncRNA